rnacentral:ribozyme from 13 species
AAAAACAAAAAAUACGGAACAGAGAAUGAUCUCUCUCUUUCUCUCUUUUCCCUUCCUUUUCUCUCUUUUCCUUUUCCCUCUUUUCUCUUCCUUUUCUCUCUUUCUCUCUCCUCUCUAAAAAUCACAAACACAAUUUACCAACUCAGGAAAUUCAAUAAAAGGAUUGAAAUUUCCUUGCAAUUCGUCUCGGAUGAUUGCGUUUCUUUCCUUUUCGUCUUCUGUUGGAGGAAAACUGUUGUGCCAUUCUUUGAGAGUUGUUUCUUGCCAAUCUUUCAAAUGAGGACCAUCGGUAGCAACAGUAUCACAACAAGUAAAAUUAUUCAUAUAUCGAAUUGAAACAUAGAAAUAUCC